rnacentral:rRNA from 1 species
UACGGAGGAUGCGAGCGUUAUCCGGAUUUAUUGGGUUUAAAGGGUGCGUAGGCGGCUUUUUAAGUCAGCGGUGAAAUUUUGCAGCUUAACUGUAACAGUGCCGUUGAUACUGGGGAGCUAGGAUUUGGUUGCUGUGGGUGGAAUGUGUGGUGUAGCGGUGAAAUGCUUAGAGAUCACACAGAAUAUCGAUUGCGAAGGCAGCUCACAAAGCCAAGAUUGACGCUCAGGCACGAAGGCGUGGGGAUCAAACAGGAUUAGA